CCCCCACAGCCACAGGCCAAAGAGGAAGACAUGGGUUGAAGAGAUGGAGAGGAGUCGGUUCUUUCCUGAUAUAGUUAAGUCUUCUGUCUCUGCUCGUGUCUAGAAGGUCACACACACAGAAACCAUGCGGAAGUCCACAAUCUGUGCUGCCACUGACACUGCAGAGGGCCAGGAAGCUUCUUCUGAAGAGGUGUGGGCGGCUGCAGGCUCACCUCGGAGGAUGAGUGACGUAGAUGGCUUCUGUGACAACCCCUCCCCUCUCCCCACACACACAAAAGAAGGUCUAGACAGGAGGUCGUCGAAGAGAACUCUUACAAAUUGUGAGACGGAUGCUGAAGGGUAGCGUUCCACAACUGAUGCCCUCUGGCAGGGGUGCAGGUGGGGAAGGACUUAGUUUUCUUUAAGGGGCUGGCCACUGGGAGUUUGGCCAUGCUCCAGUGAGUGUACAGGCAACACAAACUGAACUUGGAAUAUAUGUUUUCUUUCCUUCUGUUUUUUUUGGGGGGUGCUUCACAAGGGUGGGGGUGAUCCUGGGAGGACUGGGAAAUGAGUACAAAUGGAGUUCACUAUGUGAAAUUGCCGAGCACUCAAUAAAACUCUUAUGUUAGAA